AUUGAACGCUGGCGGCAGGCCUAACACAUGCAAGUCGAACGGUAGCACAGAGAGCUUGCUCUUGGGUGACGAGUGGCGGACGGGUGAGUAAUGGCUGGGAAACUGCCCGAUGGAGGGGGAUAACUAAUGGAAACGGUAGCUAAUACCGCAUAACGUCGCAAGACCAAAGUGGGGGACCUUCGGGCCUCACACCAUCGGAAGUGCCCAGAUGGGAUUAGCUAGUGGGUGGGGUAAUGGCUCACCUAGGCGACGGUCCCUAGCUGGUCUGAGAGGAUGACCAGCCCAACUGGAACUGAGACACGGUCCAGACUCCUGCGGGAGGCAGCAGUGGGGAAUAUUGCACAAUGGGCGCAAGCCUGAUGCAACCAUGCCGCGUGUAUGAAGAAGGCCUUCGGGUUGUAAAGUACUUUCAGCGGGGAGGAAGGCGGUGAAGUUAAUAACUUCACCGAUUGACGUUACCCGCAGAAGAAGCACCGGCUAACUCCGUGCCAGCCGCCGCAGUAA
rnacentral:rRNA from 1 species